GUGAAGAACGUAGCGAAAUGCGAUAAGUAAUGUGAAUUGCAGAAUUCAGUGAAUCAUCGAAUCUUUGAACGCACCUUGCGCUCCUUGGUAUUCCGAGGAGCAUGCCUGUUUGAGUGUCAUGAAAUUCUCAACCUUUUCAGCUUUCUUUGUUGAUCAGGCUUGGAUGUGGGAGUAUGCGGGCUUCUCAGAAGUCGGCUCUCCUGAAAUGCAUUAGCGGGACCUUUGUUGCCUGGCUUUGGUGUGAUAAUUAUCUACGCCAUUGUAGUCAAGCAGCUUAAAAUGAGGUUUCAGCUUCUAACCGUCUCCCCUGAGACAACUUUUUGACAAUUUGACCUCAAAUCAGGUAGGACUACCCGCUGAACUUAAGCAUAUCAAUAAGCGGAGGA
rnacentral:misc_RNA from 1 species